CCUACGGGAGGCAGCAGUGAGGAAUAUUGGUCAAUGGGCGUAAGCCUGAACCAGCCAAGUCGCGUGAGGGAUGAAGGUUCUAUGGAUCGUAAACCUCUUUUAUCAGGGAAUAAAGUGUGGGACGUGUCCUGUUUUGUAUGUCCCUCAUGAAUAAGGAUUCGCUAACUCCGUGCCAGCAGCCGCGGUAAUACGGAGGAUCCGAGCGUUAUCCGGGUUUAUUGGGUUUAAAGGGUGCGUAGGCGGCCUUUUAAGUCAGCGGGGAAAGUCUGUGGCUCAACCAUAGAAUUGCCGUUGAAACUGGGAGGCUUGAGUAUGUUUGAGGCAGGCGGAAUGCGUGGUGUAGCGGUGAAAUGCUUAGAUAUCACGCAGAACCCCGAUUGCGAAGGCAGCCUGCCAGGCCAUGACUGACGCUGAUGCACGAAAGCGUGGGGAUCAAACAGGAUUAGAUACCCGUGUAGUC
rnacentral:rRNA from 1 species